rnacentral:lncRNA from 1 species
AAGAUAUUGAUAUUUUUUUUUACCUAUGGAAGAUUUGAACGUCAAUAUUUUUAAGACUGAUAAACAUAGUAUUUUAACAAUAUUUUGUUAAAUAUGAACUCAUACAUACCAAUGACUUUUUUGUAAUUUUGUAAAUCUUAUCAUAUGCAAGAUGCGUGGGGUAGUCAAAAUGAUACAGUUCCUGCUUUUUAUUAUUAAGUUAAUCCUUGCUGUUGUAAUAUUUGUGGUGCUUUCUGUCGGAAUUGUUGUUCCAGUAUAUUACUUAUAUUUAAAAAGGAAAUACA